rnacentral:misc_RNA from 1 species
UUAAGUUCAGCCCGUAGUCCUACCUGAUCUGAGGUCAAGGGUUCAGAAGUUUAGGGUCUCCCAUGCCCCCGGUCGGUCCCGGCGAGACAUCAAGCAGACUCGCACACCGAGACCCAAAGGGGGGCCAGCGACCGAUGCCUUUCAGGCCACGGCCCACACCACCCCCAUGUAGAGGGGGGGUUGGCCGAGGCCCAUGACCA